rnacentral:rRNA from 1 species
UGGGCCCGCGGCGCAUUAGCUAGUUGGUGGGGUAAAGGCUUACCAAGGCAAUGAUGCGUAGCCGAAUUGAGAGGUUGAUCGGCCACAUUGGGACUGAGACACGGCCCAAACUCCUACGGGAGGCAGCAGUAGGGAAUCUUCCACAAUGGGCGAAAGCCUGAUGGAGCAACGCCGCGUGGGUGAAGAAGGUCUUCGGAUCGUAAAACCCUGUUGUUAGAGAAGAAAGUGCGUGAGAGUAACUGUUCACGUUUCGACGGUAUCUAACCAGAAAGCCACGGCUAACUACGUGCCAGCAGCCGCGGUAAUACGUAGGUGGCAAGCGUUAUCCGGAUUUAUUGGGCGUAAAGGGAACGCAGGCGGUCUUUUAAGUCUGAUGUGAAAGCCUUCGGCUUAACCGGAGUAGUGCAUUGGAAACUGGGAGACUUGAGUGCAGAAGAGGAGAGUGGAACUCCAUGUGUAGCGGUGAAAUGCGUAGAUAUAUGGAAGAACACCAGUGGCGAAAGCGGCUCUCUGGUCUGUAACUGACGCUGAGGUUCGAAAGCGUGGGUAGCAAACAGGAUUAGAUACCCUGGUAGUCCACGCCGUAAACGAUGAAUGCUAAGUGUUGGAGGGUUUCCGCCCUUCA